UGCCAGCAGCCGCGGUAAUACGAAGGGACCUAGCGUAGUUCGGAAUUACUGGGCUUAAAGAGCUCGUAGGUGGUUAAAAAAGUUGAUGGUGAAAUCUCAAGGCUUAACCUUGGAACUGCCAUCAAAACUUUUUAGCUAGAGUAUGAUAGAGGAAAGUGGAAUUUCUAGUGUAGAGGUGAAAUUCGUAGAUAUUAGAAAGAACACCAAAUGCGAAGGCAACUUUCUGGAUCAUUACUGACACUGAGGAGCGAAAGCUAGGGGAGCAAACAGGAUUAGAUA
rnacentral:rRNA from 1 species